ACACACACACACACACCCCUACCCCACCUCUCCUGCAGACACUAUAGUCGCCUGCUGAAUAUAUAAUCUAUAGCUGACGUUCCUCAGGGAGUGAUUCGAGUGCAAGCUCCCCAUCUUUCGAAAGUUUCCAUGGCAAUACAGCUAACUGAAGAACUAAAAGCCAGUGAUGUACUUGCCAGGUUUCUCAGCCAAGAAAGUGGGAUUGCCCAGACUCUCAAGAAAGGAGAAGUUUUUUUGUAUGAAAUUGGAGGAAAUAUUGGGGAACGCUGCCUUGAUGAUGACACUUAUAUGAAGGAUUUAUAUCAGCUUAACCCAAAUGCUGAGUGGGUUAUAAAGUCAAAGCCGUUGUAGAAGACUUAACAAGCUGCAGAUAACCAUGUGGACUUCUGUCAUAGUUCUUGCUGAGUCAAGAGUGUAAAUAAAAGAAAUGGCAGGACUCUUAUUA
rnacentral:sRNA from 1 species